rnacentral:rRNA from 1 species
UACGGAGGGUGCAAACGUUAUCCGGAUUCACUGGGUUUAAAGGGUGCGUAGGAGGGCAGGUAAGUCAGUGGUGAAAUCUCCGAGCUUAACUUGGAAACUGCCGUUGAUACUAUCUGCCUUGAAUAUUGUGGAGGUGAGCGGAAUAUGUCAUGUAGCGGUGAAAUGCUUAGAUAUGACAUAGAACACCAAUUGCGAAGGCAGCUCGCUACACAUAUAUUGACUCUGAGGCACGAAAGCGUGGGGAUCAAACAGG